rnacentral:rRNA from 1 species
AGAGUUUGAUCCUGGCUCAGCCUGAACGCUGGCGGCGUGGCUAAGACAUGCAAGUCGUACGGUGUAGCAAUACACAGUGGCGGACGGGUGAGUAAUAAAUAGCUAACGUACCCCGAAGACUGGGAUAGCUGCCCGAAAGGGCAGGUAAUACCAGGUAAUAUCACCGAGGGGCAUCCCUUGGUGCUCAAAGGGCAACUGUUUCGGGAGCGGGCUAUUUCGUAUCAGCUAGUUGGUGAGGUAACGGCUCACCAAGGCGACGACGCGUAGCCGGGCUGAGAGGUCGGCCGGCCACAUUGGGACUGAGACACUGCCCAGACUCCUACGGGGGGCUGCAGUAACGAAUCUUCCCCAAUGCGCGAAAGCGUGAGGGAGCGACGCCGCGUGCAGGACGAAGUCCUUCGGGAUGUAAACUGCUGUCAGGGGUUACCAAGUUCUGAGGAGCCCCAGAGGAAGAGGCGGCUAACUCUGUGCCAGCAGCCGCGGUAAUAC